GAAAUGCCACCAUCAUGGGUCUGACCAACAAGGGCUUCCACACAGACUUGAGGCUGUCACAAAGAUGACUGACAGUGUUGGCAGUGGCAGCAUCAGUGAUGAGGAGAGCAGGAGCCCCGGGACACUACAGAAUGAUCUUCUAUAGCUGAAUCAGCACCGUGAAGCUCAAAGCAAACCACUGGAUGAAGUGGUCAAGAAAACUACCCGCGUUGUCUGCCCGUCUGACCUCGACCUCCGCCGAAAACAACAGCUCUAUAUCUUCGUGUCUGCAAAUUUGCCCGCAUUCUCCACCAACGCUGUCGCAAAAUCAAUCAAAAUGCAGAGCAGUGAAACAAAUCACGGAGGCCCCAGAAGAGUGCAAUCAAACGCAUGCAUCACCUGGACCGUCGCCAGUGAAGCUUAAGACCCUUUUGGAUGGAACAUCAACUCCAAAUAAGCACAAAUAUGCAAUGUGUAUAGAUUGAUCAUAACUAAACCUGUAAAUAGAAAAGGUCAAUGUGAUGACAAACAUCUUCAAUACAAUAUGAACCCUGUAAGAAAUAUUACCAAUAGAAUAAUGCUGUAAAAUAUGUUAUUAAUGCAAUUAUAAUAAUGCAGGUUAUAUGGCAGCAAUAAAAGAAUUUCUGAAUCUCCACAGAAUGCAUGUUUGUGUCUGUGUUUGCCUGUUUGUCUAUGUUUAUAGACAAACAGUAUGGCAAAGCCAUAAUGAUACACUUGAGAAAAUAAAUCUGUUGAGAAUUUUUCUUGGCCUUCAGAUAAUAAUUCUGAUUGCUUCAGUGCCGAACAGGACAGGAAUAAAAAAAUGUGA